rnacentral:rRNA from 1 species
UCGAACGAGAAAGUGGACCAAUCCAUGAGUACAGUGCGACACGGGUGAAUAACACGUGACCAACCUGCCUUCGAGUGGGGAACAACCUAGGGAAACCUGGGCUGAUACCGCAUAACAUCUUCGAGUCGGAAGACUUGGGGAUCAAAGGAGCAAUUCGCUUGAGGAGGGGGUCGCGGCUGAUUAGCUAGUUGGCGGGGUAAUGGCCCACCAAGGCGAAGAUCGGUAGCCGGCCUGAGAGGGCGCACGGCCACACUGGAACUGAAACACGGUCCAGACUCCUACGGGAGGCAGCAGUGGGGAAUUUUGCGCAAUGGGGGAAACCCUGACGCAGCAACGCCGCGUGGAGGAUGAAGUCCCUUGGGGAGUAAACUCCUUU